rnacentral:rRNA from 1 species
AAAACGACUCUCGGCAACGGAUAUCUCGGCUCUCGCAUCGAUGAAGAACGUAGCGAAAUGCGAUACUUGGUGUGAAUUGCAGAAUCCCGUGAACCAUCGAGUCUUUGAACGCAAGUUGCGCCCCUAGCCUUCUGGCCGAGGGCACGUCUGCCUGGG